UUGAAUGGAAUCAGAAGCAUGGAGUCUGUCUCAGUUCAGAAUGUAUUGUAUUGUAUUGUAUUUGCCAUUUUUACUGUUUGUCUUACGUCAGCGCACGUGGCGUGACGUCACUUCAGGAGGCGUGGUUAAGUGCCCUGUACAGAGGGGUCAAUUACCCCAAAAAGCCGAGGUGUCAAAUACCGCAAGGCCAUCUUGUAUUUCACGACACCCGUCACCGGGGAUGACUGCAGCCACAGUAGAUGAAAUGCUCAAGUUGGUGGAGGACAGUAAUGUGGCAAAGCUCACAUGUACAGGACAAAAGGUUGAAUAAAUAAGAGUGGCACUAUUGAAUUGUAAAGCAGCCAUGUUGCAGCCUGGCUGACUUGGAGGACUGUUUGCGAUGCUACAAUGAGCCUGCUCUGCCAAACGUGCGGACUUCUAAUAGAGAUGGAUGCAAGGAAAAGGAGUGAUAUAUGGAUUCUAAGUAUCUGGCUAAAGAGUCACACCUGCCUGGCAACACUCACACGCACAGACAAGAGUCCUGUGCACUAACACGUGCGGCUGUUUAAUGGCGCCAAGUCAAGAGCAGCUGGGAGGGGGAUCGCUGCACCAUUGGCCAGAAAGAACCAGCCGCAUGAUGUCACCGAGCUGACCUCAUUACCCGUAAGGAAGCCCAACGAUGUCUGUUGCUGGUGAUGUCACUACUCAUUAGCCGGCCUUCAUUCAAACAAAAAUAAUAUUUACUUUGGUGCGACACUGUUGUCUUUUGCACGGAGAUGCCACAUAUCACCCUUAUCCACCACACACUUUUAC